UACGGGGGGAGCAAGCGUUGUUCGGAUUUACUGGGCGUAAAGGGCGCGUAGGCGGCGCAACAAGUCACUUGUGAAAUCUCCGGGCUUAACCCGGAGCGGCCAAGUGAUACUGUCGUGCUAGAGUGCGGAAGGGGCUACUGGAAUUCUCGGUGUAGCGGUGAAAUGCGUAGAUAAUCGAGAGGAACACCAGUGGCGAAGGCGAGUCCCUGGACAAAACCUGACACUGAGGCACGAAAGCUAGGGGAGCAAACAGG
rnacentral:rRNA from 1 species